AUUCAAAGCUGCCUUCGUAAAAGAACUAUCGCCAGGGUGGUCUCACCUGGACAGGCUUGAAGCGAGUUGCGCAUACCCAAGAAUCAGUUACAAGGCCUCGCAAUGACGUAUGCGAUAGAAGAGGAUGAGCCUGGCAUCUCCAUUAAAGGCUCGGCGCACUGCGCGAACAUUUGUCCUCCGAGCGUCACUGACUCGGCUCAACUGGUAAAGGCAUGGCUUGAAACCCGUCAGCACCUCGGGCUUUUGCUGAAUAUCCCUUGACCCAAUGACGUUACGAGCUAUGAAGAGCGAAGCUCCGCAUCGUGUGGGGUCCACGACAACGGCGUACGUAAUGGCUAAAUUUGACCAGGGCUACUUUUUUGACGGUCGGACAUAUUCCCCCGACACAACACAGCGUGGAGACUUAGGAUAAUUUAAUUAUACGAAUAUGUAUCUCAAUAUAUCGAUGAUCGAUAUUCUGUCUUUCUUCUUCUAUCUAGAAACUACAGCUCUCUAACACCUUACUCUGAACCUCACCAUGGAAUGUUUCCACCAUUUUAUUAAUUUAAACAACUUUUGGACAUGGUCAACUUACUUUGUAUUCUUGUAUUAUU